UGCUGAGGAGACCUGCAUGGGAAGUGGGACCUUUCCCAGGAAUUGUGAGGCCACCUGCGACUUUAAACCUUCCUUCCUUCUACAAGCUAAAUGGUACCAUGAGGAUUCCAGUACUAGGAAUGCUGGUUAUCGCAUGCUGCCUAGGAGAUGCUGCCUGGGAAAGGAGGCGAGAGAGGUCCUUUUGUCAGAGCCUAUAAGGAUGAGUAUGCUUUGCACUUCUCCUGAAGAAUUAUAGCCUGGGCACAGCAUGAACAAUGACACCAAUGUCCUGGCCACUGAUAUUUCCCUGGACCUCCAAACCUCAAGAUAUGAACAGAUGUAACCUGAGCUUUGGGCAAAAUUGGCUGCUGAAUCUCACGCUAUGGCUUGAGUCCCAUCUCUAGGUUUAAGGCAUUAGUCGAAUAUUGCUGAAUUCUACCACUCUGAAUGGGCUACUCUAUGAAUAGCUGCAAGAAAGAUUGGAAAGAUACCUGGGUGAAGAUUUUGCAGCGUUUUCCCCUGAAAGAAUGAAAAUCACAAAGAAGAUGCCUUGUCUUGAGACUCCCAGAGUUCAACAGAGUUUGAUUUUCAAAUGGGAUGCAGUGAAGUUGGCUUACUUGUUAUUGACUCCAAUUCUAGAAUGUGAACACUCAUUUAAAAUCAUGAAAGUCAUGGAAUCUGAGAUUCAUGUCAUGGGCACAAGAGAUAUGGACUGCUGAGGAAUAAAAAUAUGUUUGUGGGUAAUUCGUUAGAGAAACUACUCAUAGAAGAUGUAGUUGAUCAUGAUUUCCCUGUAGUGUUGUGAAAAUUAGUAUCUGCCUGGCUUAUAUCUGCCCUGUAAAUGAAAAGACCUCAAGAGAAAUGUCAACUUCAGCCAUGUUUUAAGAAUGUGUAAAUCUGGGGGGUCUGAAUA